UACGUAGGGUGCAAGCGUUAAUCGGAAUUACUGGGCGUAAAGCGUGCGCAGGCGGUGAUGUAAGACAGUUGUGAAAUCCCCGGGCUCAACCUGGGAACUGCAUCUGUGACUGCAUCGCUGGAGUGCGGCAGAGGGGGAUGGAAUUCCGCGUGUAGCAGUGAAAUGCGUAGAUAUGCGGAGGAACACCGAUGGCGAAGGCAAUCCCCUGGGCCUGCACUGACGCUCAUGCACGAAAGCGUGGGAGCAAACAGG
rnacentral:rRNA from 1 species